GUCCUCUUGACACAAGCCAGCCCGCCUGCCAUAGAAGAAGAAUGCGUUCAGUAAGCAUCUGGUUAAGGACACAGAGCAAGCGAGACUGUUGAGACGAGAGCUGAGCCCCAAUGGAGACAGCUCAUCAGAGUCUCCAUUGAGCCCACAGCCCGCAGCGUAGCCAAACGUCUCCCACGAGCACCGCGAUGGGUACAGAGGAUCCAGAGAGAUACUAGGGAUAAUGGAUAGGAAUAUAUCACAAAUCUCCUUAAGGCUGAAGCUUAAAGUGCAGGUUGCAGUGCUUUCACUAUUAAAAUUGACAUGAAUCAUUCACUGCCCACCUGAUGUC